CCACAUUCAGGGUGCUGCGGCACCCAACACUGACUGAUCCUGGGCGCCACCCCCAAUCAGACACAGCGCUGCGGCACAGCAUCCCAGGCGCCGUAAACAUAUCCAUUAGAGCACAAUUUUGGCCCGUUAACUCCAGAGAAAAUCCUAUUCUCUACACAUGGUAGGGGACCUAUAAAUAUGAAAAUUCUCGCACUUUAAAGGAGAUUCACA
rnacentral:lncRNA from 1 species